rnacentral:rRNA from 1 species
GACGAACGCUGGCGGCGUGCUUAACACAUGCAAGUCGAACGGAAAGGCCCUGCUUUUGUGGGGUGCUCGAUUGGCGCACGGGUGAGUAACACGUGAGUAACCUGCCCUUGACUUUGGGAUAUCUUCAGGAAACUGGGGCUCAUACCGGAUAGGAGCUCCUGCUGCAUGGUGGGGGUUGGAAAGUUUCGGCGGUUGGGGAUGGACUCGCGGCUUAUCAGCUUGUUGGUGGGGUAGUGGCUUACCAAGGCUUUGACGGGUAGCCGGCCUGAGAGGGUGACCGGCGACAUGGGGACUGAGAGACGGCCCAGAAUCCAACGGGACGCAGUAGGGGGGAAUAUGGCACAAUGGGCGGAAGCCUGAUGCAGCAACGCCGCGCGCGGGAUGACGGGCUUCGGGGUGUAAACCGCUUUCGCAGGUGACGAAGCGUGAGUGACGGUAAUGGGUAAAGAAGCACCGGCUAACUACGUG